rnacentral:rRNA from 1 species
GAGGAAUAUUGGUCAAUGGGCGCGAGCCUGAACCAGCCAAGUAGCGUGAAGGAUGACUGCCCUAUGGGUUGUAAACUUCUUUUAUAAGGGAAUAAAGUGAGGCACGUGUGCCUUAUUGUAUGUACCUUAGGAAUAAGCAUCGGCUAACUACGUGCCAGCAGCCGCGGUAAUACGUAGGUGGCAAGCGUUGUCCGGAAUUAUUGGGCGUAAAGCGCGCGCAGGUGGUUUCUUAAGUCUGAUGUGAAAGCCCACGGCUUAACCGUGGAGGGUCAUUGGAAACUGGGAGACUUGAGUGCAGAAGAGGAAAGUGGAAUUCCAAGUGUAGCGGUGAAAUGCGUAGAGAUUUGGAGGAACACCAGUGGCGAAGGCGACUUUCUGGUCUGCAACUGACGCUGAGGCGCGAAAGCCAGGGAAGUGAACG